rnacentral:rRNA from 1 species
GCAAUUGGAUUGAGAACAAUGUACAACUCUUAUCGAUAAGCCAUUGGAGGGCAAGUCUGGUGCCAGCAGCCGCGGUAAUUCCAGCUCCAAUAGCGUAUAUUAACGUUGUUGCAGUUAAAAAGCUCGUAGUUGAAGUGUGGGUGAUCGCUGUUGUGAGACUUCGGUCUCUCGACAGUAAGUCACCCCCUUCCAGUAUCCAGUAGUGGGUAUUCAGUUACUUACUAUUGUGUGUUGGUCCUUUACUGUGAGAAAAUUAGAGUGUUCAAAGCAGGCGUUUGCUUGAAUAGAUUAGCAUGGAAUAAUAAUUGAAGGCUUUCGUGUUCGAUUUGAUUGGUUUGUUCAUGGAAGCAAGGUUAAAAGGAACAGUUGGGGGUAUUCAUAUUCACUAGUUAGAGGUGAAAUUCUCGGAUUUAUGGAAGAUGAACAAGUGCGAAAGCA